UUUGUUUUUUAACAUUCUGAAAGACACUCUGAACCGAGUUUAACAUCCUUCUGAACAAAAAAUUUCCGACAGGAUAAAUAAACUACUGUUCCACUGAACUGUGACUUUUGAGCCGACUCUAGGGUGCACCCAGCCUUCCAGAGGUGCGUGCCUGGCUUCACCCUCGAAGAGGCAGCUCCAGCCCCAGAGGCCGAUCAGCACCACAGCACCUGAGCCGGGCACUGCAGGAAGGAAAGCAGAAUCUCUAGUGAAACUUCUCAUUUCCUGUCGCUGCUGAAAGGUUGGACUCAGUCCUUCUCACAUGGUUUAGGAAGAGCUGUAAACACAGCCAUGGAGCUUGCUGGCCGGCCCCCGGGGGCAGCCUCUGGGUUCUGCUCCCGGUUCUUCCCUUCGACCAGUGUCAGUCCUGGACAGAUAACGGGACCGAACGCCCUCCACUUCCUCGAGUCCUCAUUUAUGUCAUGGUUCCUCUUUCAAGAAAACAUGAGAACAAGACGCAAAGCAAAAGAAGAGACUAAAGGCAAACUACCCCAUCACCCCGUUUCGGCCCUCCCCUUCGUUAUUACAGAAGAGCUUGAUCAAAUUCCCUUUGUCGCGCCACACUCACACGCAGAGUAGGUGAAGGGCACCCUAAGACAACUUAUUUCUUUCCCGCCUCACAGAAAGCCUUUACGAAAUCCUCACACCAUCUCCGGACGCAAGGCUUUCGCAUUCAGCUUGAGGCGAUAAGCCAUUUCAAGCCAAGAGUCUUACUCUGUCGCCCUGGCUGGAGUGCAGUAGCACGAUCUCAACUCACAGCAACCUCUGCCUCCCAGAUUCAAGUUAUUCUGCCUCAGCCUCCUGAGUAGCUGGGACUACAGGCACGAGCCACCACACCUGGCUAAUUUUUGUGGGGCUUUGUGGGGCCUAGCCCUUGUCCCAACAGAUCACUGAACUCAGCCUCCAGGCCUGCCCUGGCUAGUCAUCAGAGUGGUAGGUGCUAAAAACAGGAGGCAGAAGCUAAGGAGGACAAGUGAGGGGAAGCGGGGCCCAAUACAGGGAACAGGGCUCUGUCAUACAGACUGGAGUGCAGUAGCACAAUCCCUGCUUACUGCAGCCUCCUCCUCCUCCUGGGUUCAAGCGAUUGUCCUGCCUCAGCCUCCCGAGUAGCUUGGACUACAGGCACAUGCCAUCACACCUGGCUAAUUUUUAUAUUUUUAGUAGAGAUGGGGUUUUCCCAUGUUGGCCAGGCUGGUUUCGAACUCCUGACAUCAAGUGAUCCGCUCACCUCAGCCUCCCAAAGACCAGGGAUUACAGGUGUGAGUCACCACACCAGCCUUCCUCUGCCAUCUUAAAGGAAAGAUUCCACCUAGUGAAGACAAGUUGGGAAAUAGGGAUUAACUAUCAGUGGCAACUCCUUGCUAAUCCUGGUACCUAGUGUUCUUGCGAUGUUCAAGAAGGCCUUUCUUGCAUAUCUGACAUGGGACUUCACGACUCCUCCUACGGUCCUGCUGCCCUUGACUCCUGCAUAGCCCAUGAGACACAACCACCCUCUCUCAUUUGCUGAAUGCCCACUAUGUGUCCAGCACUCUUCUGGGCACUUUACAUGCACUAUCUGCAAGUGAGAAGAUGCUCUCCUAUCCAUUUCAAUGAAGAAGCUGGUGAUCAGCAGAGUUAAGCAUCUUGUUCUUUAUUAGAAAGCUCAAUAAAAGGAUGAGCUCGUGCCUCCA